UGCUUAACACAUGCAAGUCGAACGAAGCACUUUCUUUGAUGGCUUCGGAAUGAAGUUUUAGUGACUGAGUGGCGGACGGGUGAGUAACGCAUGGGUAACCUGCCUCACACAGGGGGAUAGCAGUUGGAAACGGCUGCUAAUACCGCAUAAGCGCACAGUACCGCAUGGUACAGUGUGAAAAACUCCGGUGGUGUGAGAUGGACCCGCGUCUGAUUAGCUAGUUGGCAGGGUAGCGGCCUACCAAGGCGACGAUCAGUAGCCGACCUGAGAGGGUGACCGGCCACAUUGGGACUGAGACACGGCCCAAACUCCUACGGGAGGCAGCAGUGGGGAAUAUUGCACAAUGGGGGAAACCCUGAUGCAGCGACGCCGCGUGAGCGAAGAAGUGUUUCGGUAUGUAAAGCUCUAUCAGCAGGGAAGAAGAAAUGACGGUACCUGACUAAGAAGCACCGGCUAAAUACGUGCCAGCAGCCGCGGUAAUACGUAUGGUGCAAGCGUUAUCCGGAUUUACUGGGUGUAAAGGGAGCGCAGGCGGAAGGCUAAGUCUGAUGUGAAAGCCCGGGGCUCAACCCCGGUACUGCAUUGGAAACUGGUCAUCUAGAGUGUCGGAGGGGUAAGUGGAAUUCCUAGUGUAGCGGUGAAAUGCGUAGAUAUUAGGAGGAACACCAGUGGCGAAGGCGGCUUACUGGACGAUAACUGACGCUGAGGCUCGAAAGCGUGGGGAGCAAACAGGAUUAGAUACCCUGGUAGUCCCCGCCGUACACGAUGAAUACUAAGUGUCGGAAAGCACAGCUUUUCGGUG
rnacentral:rRNA from 1 species